GGUAUGUAAAGCUCUAUCAGCAGGGAAGAUAAUGACGGUACCUGACUAAGAAGCACCGGCUAAAUACGUGCCAGCAGCCGCGGUAAUACGUAUGGUGCAAGCGUUAUCCGGAUUUACUGGGUGUAAAGGGAGCGCAGGCGGUGCGGCAAGUCUGAUGUGAAAGCCCGGGGCUCAACCCCGGUACUGCAUUGGAAACUGUCGUACUAGAGUGUCGGAGGGGUAAGCGGAAUUCCUAGUGUAGCGGUGAAAUGCGUAGAUAUUAGGAGGAGCACCAGUGGCGAAGGCGGCUUACUGGACGAUAACUGACGCUGAGGCUCGAAAGCGUGGGGAGCAAACAGGAUUAGAUACCCUGGUAGUCCACGCCGUAAA
rnacentral:rRNA from 1 species